GCCCAGCUAGCUCAGUUGGUAGAGCAUGAGACUCUUAAUCUCAGGGUUGUGGGUUCGAGCCCCAUGUUGGGUG
rnacentral:tRNA from 2 species